UACGGAGGGUGCAAGCGUUGUCCGGAUUUAUUGGGUUUAAAGGGUGCGUAGGCGGCCUUUUAAGUCAGCGGUGAAAGUUUAGGGCUCAACCCUGAAAUUGCCGUUGAUACUGGCGGGCUUGAGUGCCGGUGGGGUACAUGGAAUUGGUGGUGUAGCGGUGAAAUGCAUAGAUACCAUCAGGAACACCGAUAGCGUAGGCAUGGUACUUAUCAACAACUGACGCUGAGGCACGAAAGCGUGGGUAGCGAACAGG
rnacentral:misc_RNA from 1 species